GAAGAGCACAUAUUGAAUUUGCUAAUAAAUAUAAACACAUAUAGGAACCCUAAUUAGUCUUCAUUUUGAAUUUGGUUCAUCAAGUCUCUAAUGGCCUUUUGGGGUUAGUAUCUACAUUGUUUUCUUUUUAAUUUUUGCCAUUUACUUUCAUAUUGAGUUGAGCACAUAUUGUUACUAGUUUUGUGUUAAAAAUGUUUUAGGAGUGGAAGUAACUGACAGUGAGCCAUAUACUCUGGUGAAGAACUAUGGAGACAGGAUUCGGAUUACUCAGGUUUUCAUUAUUCUUUCUUUUUUCUUGAAAUAAAAAAAAAAAAUUCAUAAAAAUUGUAAAACUGUUAUUCUGGGUGCAGGCUGUUUUGGGGCAUCAAAAUCCUGAAGGGAAAGUAAUUCUUCAAUGUAAAGUUGGCGAGAAUAAGAAAUCUAUAAGCUUGUGUUGUUUGGAUACUGAGAAAUCAGCAACCGUGCCAUUGAAUGUCGUUUUUGGAGAGAAAGACGACGUCGUUUUCUCGAUUAUCGGGAAUGGAAGUGUUUUCCUUUCUGGUUAUUUUAUUAGCAACCAUAGUCUUCAUGACGAUGAUUAUGAACGAGAAGACUCAUUGUAUCCUUUGUCUGUUUUUUUUUUUCUUUUUUUUUUUUGCAUUCCAUCAAAUUAGGUAUGUUUUGGUUGGUAUAUGUAUUAUAUAUGUUAUUUGUUCUUAUGCUUAUAUAUGUAUUCCUUUUAUUAUAACUUUAAGUGGCUCAUAUAAUAAAAUAGUACAUUGUUUACUAAUUUUAUUAAAUAUUUUUAUAAAAAUUAGUGUUUAUAUAUGUAUUCCUUUUAUCAUAAUUUUAAGUGGUUCGGUUGGAAUGGACAUUGCUUAUACUGAAAGUAAGCGUUCAACUGAUGAUGAUGACUAUGACCUCAGUGAUAGCUUUAUCAACGAUGGUGAUCCAGGAGUCUUAAGUCCUCUACCAAUAAGGCAAUUGGAUGAUCUUCUACACAAUGGAGCUGCAAAUUCUGUGGAGAACAAUGGUAUGGUGAUUGGUGAAGAUGAGAGUAAUGCACUUCUAGAAUACUUCAUGCAAAGAAAUGUCCACAGUCAGACAUCAAAAAUUGAAGACAAGUGAUGAAGAGAUCUAAAAUGAUGGAGGCUUUUCAGUUUUGAAGUCAAGGAGAGAAUAUGAGACACCCACUAAAGCCUCCAACAGAAGCAUUAGCUGAUUUUAAUAUUUAUCUACUUGAUUGAAUGGUUUUGUUUCUUUUUUUUCUUAAUUAAGUUAUGAGAUACUUUUUGUUUUUAAUGGAUUUCAUUACUUUUUUAAUUAAUAAAGAUUGAAGUGGGACUGACUAGUUUAUUUUAUUAAACUUGUAUACUUUUGAAUAAUGUGCAUUUUUUAUAUGCUUUUGGAGGGUCUAAUCUGCUUUCUUAUUUCAAUGAAAUUACUAAUAUUUUGUUUGAAUAGUGAACAUUGUAAACUAAGUUUAGUCUUCCCAGGCUGCUGCCAUGGUGAUACAUAGAUUAUUUUGUGGUAUAUAUUUCAAGCAACUAGACAUGGAAUCCAUUUAAUUUUCGUAUAUAUGAUUAUUUGAAAACUAAUCAUUUUCUAGUGCCUGGUGUAUAUUUUUGUAUAUCAUGUUUCAAUUUCAAGAUUGUAAUUGGAAUUUAAACUUCUUCUUUUUUUUUGCUUUCAGUU